AUCACCCUAUGCCAUAUUUUCAAUGUUUGAUUAAACGAUUAACAAUCUGUAGAACAGUUGUCGUGUUGUCUCUUUAACGCAUUCCCCGUUUUCAUUUCGAAUUUCAUUUGCUUCUUUUCUUGUCGGUUAGAGAAGCGGUAGGGGCAUCUAAUAUUUUUUUUUGUGUGUAAUUUUUUACCGUUUAUUUUGUUUUCCGAGAUAGUUGAGUCAGAGACGUUUUGUAUCAAUAUACGUCUCUGAUUGAGUCAAAUCGAUAAAAGUGAUAUUUCAAGCGAGAACAAGUUCAAAUAAUUAUGACGUCUUGAAAGGCUCUUUUGUUUUGCCUUGACGCCUAAAUUAGUUCUG
rnacentral:lncRNA from 1 species